UACGGGGGGGGCAAGCGUUGUUCGGAAUUACUGGGCGUAAAGCGCGCGUAGGUGGUUUGUUAAGUUGAAUGUGAAAUCCCCGGGCUCAACCUGGGAACUGCAUCCAAAACUGGCAAGCUAGAGUAGGGCAGAGGGUGGUGGAAUUCCUGUGUAGCGGUGAAAUGCGUAGAUAUAGGAAGGAACACCAGUGGCGAAGGCGACCACCUGGGCUCAUACUGACACUGAGGUGCGAAAGCGUGGGGAGCAAACAGG
rnacentral:rRNA from 1 species